UUUAUUCCCCAAUUCUAAGCUCUUUUCUUUCAGUUUUAAGAAUCUUUUUAUAUCACUUGCAUUAAAUUUCACAACAUUAUCAACCCAUUAAAAUGUGACUCUUAAGUUUGUCUAGAUUCAAUGCAUACCACUAUUUCUUGCAUUUCCCUAAAAAAGCUGCCUUAGAUCCUCUCUGGAACAAAGCAGGGGGUAAAUGACCAGAUAAAAGGAUGGAUGGAUGAUAGAUGAUUCAUUUUGCUUUCCCCAGUCAGAAUUAAGCCCUCCCAUGGCCCCUUGCUGGGCUUUCUGUCAAAACACGUGCAUCGCAUCUUUUCAGUAUCUGUUUUGCGUGUCGGUCAUUCUCACCCCUCUGAGUGCUCAUUCUCUCGCCUAUAAAAUAGAAGUAGUAGUAGAGGUGGCCUGUAAGGCACUGGGGAAAAGGAACUGCCCUUUCACUGGCUUCAUGACAGCCCCAGCCAGCACCCCCUCUCCAGUUCCACCCACAGAAGCAAGUCUCACCCCUACCCCCCAGGUCUCUCCACUUCCUGCUAGAGAAUCACCCAGCUCCCCAGCCUGGCUUGAGGCUCUUUUCAGCCUUAGCUGGCUCCCCCCAGCUAAGAGCCCCAUGCUCCAUUUGGGCCUCCAGUGUCGCAGGGUUUGACCUGCUGUUACUACUACCUUUGUCAUAGGGGCAGAUAGUGGGCGGACAUGAUCUAGAGUACCCCACAGAGUCAGGAGCCCCCAUGAUCUGGGAUAGACCCUAGAGCUGAGCCUGAAAUUGGGUAGGCACUGAGGGGUCAGUGAUGUUUGCUGAGGGAGAGGUUCUGGUGAGAGACUAAAUGAAUGAGCGAGUGAGGUAAUGGAUAAAUAAAGAUAAGAAUGAAAAAAUGAUAAGAUGAUUAAAUUGGUGACUGAAUGUAAGAGUAAAUUAAUGGAAGAAUGGAUUCAUGGAUUAAAUAAUUAAUGGGGAAAUUAAUGAAUGAGAGAAUGAACGAGUGGUUGAAUGGGGAAAUGAGUGGUAGAGGAAACUAGCAACUGUUGGGUUGGGGGUGUCUAUGGGGAUUGACUUCUCCAACUCUCUUACCUCUUUUUCUUCUGCCCCCAGUGUCCUCUAUUUCUCCAUCCACCGCUACGAGCAGGGUAGGUUCUGGCCCCACCUGAAGGCCUCUAACUGGUCCACCACAGGUUUCGGCCAAGGCCAAGGAUAUACCAUCAAUGUGCCUUGGAACCAGGUGGGGAUGCGGGAUGCUGACUACAUUGCUGCUUUCCUGCACGUCCUGCUGCCAGUCGCCCUCGAGGUCCUGGGGAUCUGGGGUGUGUUGGGAGGAGGAGUGGCCUUGAAGGUUAGGCUGUGAGGGUAGGUAGCCUCAUGGAGUCUGUUCCCCCUUCAGUUCCAGCCUCAGCUGGUCCUGGUGGCUGCUGGAUUUGAUGCCCUGCAAGGGGACCCCAAGGUAAGGCAGGCUCCCUGGGGUGGCAGGUGGGUUGCACGGAGCCAGGCUGACCCUCCAUGUCCCCCCAGGGUGAGAUGGCCGCCACUCCGGCAGGGUUCGCCCAGCUAACCCACUUGCUCAUGGGUCUGGCAGGAGGCAAGCUGAUCCUGUCUCUGGAGGUGAGUGACUCACCUUUGUCCCUCAGCCUGUGGAUCCUGGAGGGCUUAAGAACGAAGCUUUCAAGUCCAACAGGAGUUCCUGGCCCAGGAAUUCACUUACUAGCUGGACAACCUUGCAUAAGUCACUUCACUUCUUUGUACCUCCGCUUUCCUUCUGUAAAACGAGCAUAAUAAUGGUAAUCACCUCAUAUCAUUGUCCAGUGAAUUCAGUGAGGCCCCCUUCUAAGUUCCUUGUUGCUUGACAUUUGGUAUGCACUCUUUUAUUAUCAUCAUUAUUAUUAUUCCCUGGUCAUGUCUGGUCCUUUCCUGAUUCCCCUUCACAACUCCUUGCCCCAGGGUGGCUAUAACCUCCGCGCCCUAGCUGAAGGCGUCAGUGCUUCGCUCCACACCCUUCUUGGAGACCCUUGCCCCAUGCUGGAGUCACCUGGUGCCCCCUGCCGGAGUGCCCAGGCUUCAGUUUCCUGUGCUCUGGAAGCCCUUGAGCCCUUCUGGGAGGUUCUUGUGAGAUCAACUGAGACCGUGGAGGGGGACAACAUGGAGGAGGACAAUGUAGAGAGCGAGGAGGAAGGACCCUGGGAGCCCCCUGCGCUCCCAAUCCUGACAUGGCCAGUGCUACAGUCUCGCACAGGGCUGGUCUAUGACCAAAGUAUGAUGAAUCACUGCAACUUGUGGGACAGCCACCACCCUGAGGUACCCCAGCGCAUCUUGCGGAUCAUGUGCCGUCUGGAGGAGCUGGGCCUUGCCGGGCGCUGCCUCACCCUGACACCGCGCCCUGCCACAGAGGCUGAGCUGCUCACCUGCCACAGUGCUGAGUACGUGGGUCAUCUCCGGGCCACAGAGAAAAUGAAAACCCGGGAGCUGCACCGUGAGAGUUCCAACUUUGACUCCAUCUAUAUCUGCCCCAGUACCUUCGCCUGUGCACAGCUUGCCACUGGCGCAGCCUGCCGCCUGGUAGAGGCUGUGCUCUCAGGAGAGGUUCUGAAUGGAGCUGCUGUGGUGCGUCCCCCAGGACACCACGCGGAGCAGGAUGCAGCUUGCGGUUUUUGCUUUUUCAACUCUGUGGCUGUGGCUGCUCGCCAUGCCCAGGCUAUCAGUGGGCGUGCCCUACGAAUCCUGAUUGUGGAUUGGGAUGUCCACCACGGUAAUGGAACUCAGCACAUGUUUGAGGAUGACCCCAGUGUGCUAUAUGUGUCCCUGCACCGCUAUGAUCAUGGCACCUUCUUCCCCAUGGGGGAUGAGGGUGCCAGCAGCCAGAUCGGCCGGGCUGCGGGCACAGGCUUCACCGUCAACGUGGCAUGGAACGGGCCCCGCAUGGGUGACGCUGACUACCUAGCUGCCUGGCAUCGCCUGGUGCUUCCCAUUGCCUACGAGUUUAACCCAGAACUGGUGCUGGUCUCAGCUGGCUUUGAUGCUGCACGGGGGGACCCGCUGGGGGGCUGCCAGGUGUCACCUGAGGGUUAUGCCCACCUCACCCACCUGCUGAUGGGCCUUGCCAGUGGCCACAUUAUCCUUAUCCUAGAGGGUGGCUAUAACCUGACAUCCAUCUCAGAGUCCAUGGCUGCCUGCACUCGCUCCCUCCUUGGAGACCCGCCACCCCUGCUGACCCUGCCACGGCCCCCACUAUCAGGGGCCCUGGCCUCAAUCACUGAGACCAUCCAAGUCCAUCGCAGAUACUGGCGCAGCUUACGGGUCAUGAAGGUAGAAGACAGAGAGGGACCCUCCAGUUCUAAGUUGGUCACCAAGAAGGCACCCCAACCAGCCAAACCUAGGUUAGCUGAGCGGAUGACCACACGAGAAAAGAAGGUUCUGGAAGCAGGCAUGGGGAAAGUCACCUCGGCAUCAUUUGGGGAAGAGUCCACUCCAGGCCAGACUAAGUCAGAGACAGCUGUGGUGGUCCUCACUCAGGACCAGCCCUCAGAGGCAGCCACAGGGGGAGCCACUCUGGCCCAGACCAUUUCUGAGGCAGCCAUUGGGGGAGCCAUGCUGGGCCAGACCACCUCAGAGGAGGCUGUCGGGGGAGCCACUCCGGACCAGACCACCUCAGAGGAGACUGUGGGAGGAGCCACUGUGGACCAGACCACCUCAGAGGAUGCUGUUGGGGGAGCCACGCUGGGCCAGACUACCUCAGAGGAGGCUGUAGGAGGAGCUACACUGGCCCAGACCACCUCGGAGGCAGCCAUGGAGGGAGCCACACUGGACCAGACUACGUCAGAGGAGGCUCCAGGGGGCACCGAGCUGAUCCAAACUCCUCUAGCCUCGAGCACAGACCACCAGACCCCCCCAACCUCACCUGUGCAGGGAACUACACCCCAGAUAUUUCCCAGUACACUGAUUGGGAGUCUCAGGACCUUGGAGCUAGGCAGCGAAUCUCAGGGGGCCUCAGAAUCUCAGGCCCCAGGAGAGGAGAACCUACUAGGAGAGGCAGCUGGAGGUCAGGACAUGGCUGAUUCGAUGCUGAUGCAGGGAUCUAGGGGCCUCACUGAUCAGGCCAUAUUUUAUGCUGUGACACCACUGCCCUGGUGUCCCCAUUUGGUGGCAGUAUGCCCCAUACCUGCAGCAGGCCUAGACGUGACCCAACCUUGUGGGGACUGUGGAACAAUCCAAGAGAAUUGGGUGUGUCUCUCUUGCUAUCAGGUCUACUGUGGUCGUUACAUCAAUGGCCACAUGCUCCAACACCAUGGAAAUUCUGGACACCCGCUGGUCCUCAGCUACAUCGACCUGUCAGCCUGGUGUUACUACUGUCAGGCCUAUGUCCACCACCAGGCUCUCCUAGAUGUGAAGAACAUCGCCCACCAGAACAAGUUUGGGGAGGAUAUGCCCCACCCACACUAAGCCCCAGAAUACGGUCCCUCUUCACCUUCUGAGGCCCACGAUAGACCAGCUGUAGCUCAUUCCAGCCUGUACCUUGGAUGAGGGGUAGCCUCCCACUGCAUCCCAUCCUGAAUAUCCUUUGCAGCUCCCCAAGAGUGCUUAUUUAAGUGUUAAUACUUUUAAGAGAACUGCGACGAUUAAUUGUGGAUCUCCCCCUGCCCAUUGCCUGCUUGAGGGGCACCACUACUCCAGCCCAGAAGGAAAGAGGGGCAGCUCAGUGGCCCCAAGAGGGAGCUGAUAUCACGAGGAUAACAUUGGUGGGAGGGGAGUUAACUGGCAGGCAUGGUAAGGUUGCAUAUGUAAUAAAGUACAAGCUGUUAAAAAA
rnacentral:sRNA from 1 species